AGAGUUUGAUCAUGGCUCAGUAAGCGAACGCUGGCGGCAGGCCUAACACAUGCAAGUCGAGCGCCCCGCAAGGGGAGCGGCAGACGGGAGAGUAACACGUGGGAACGUGCCCUUUGGUUCGGAACAACACAGGGAAACUUGUGCUGAUACCGGAUAAGUCCGUAAGGAGAAAGAUUUAUCGCCAAAGGAUCGGCCCGCGUCUGAUUAGCUUGUUGGUGAGGUAACGGCUCACCAAGGCGACGAUCAGUAGCUGGUCUGAGAGGAUGAUCAGCCUCACUGGGACUGAGACACGGCCCAGACUCCUACGGGAGGCAGCAGUGGGGAAUAUUGGACAAUGGGCGCAAGCCUGAUCCAGCCAUGCCGCGUGGGUGAUGAAGGCCCUAGGGUUGUAAAGCCCUUUCGGCGGGGAAGAUAAUGACGGUACCCGCAGAAGAAGCCCCGGCUAACUUCGUGCCAGCAGCCGCGGUAAUACGAAGGGGGCUAGCGUUGCUCGGAAUCACUGGGCGUAAAGCGCACGUAGGCGGCUUUUUAAGUCAGAGGUGAAAUCCUGGAGCUCAACUCCAGAACUGCCUUUGAUACUGGAGAGCCCGAGUCCGGGAGAGGUGAGUGGAACUGCGAGUGUAGAGGUGAAAUUCGUAGAUAUUCGCAAGAACACCAGUGGCGAAGGCGGCUCACUGGCCCGGUACUGACGCUGAGGUGCGAAAGCGUGGGGGAGCAAACAGGAUUAGAUACCCUGGUAGUCCACGCCGUAAACGAUGGAUGCUAGCCGUUGUCGGGUUUACUCGUCAGUGGCGCAGCUAACGCAUUAAGCAUCCCGCCUGGGGAGUACGGUCGCAAGAUUAAAACUCAAAGGAAUUGACGGGGGCCCGCACAAGCGGUGGAGCAUGUGGUUCAUUCGAAGCACGCGCAGACCUUACCAGCCCUUGACAUCCCGGUCGCGAGUACCAGAGAUGGAACUCUUCAGUUCGGCUGGGCCGGAGAACAGGUGCUGCAUG
rnacentral:rRNA from 1 species